rnacentral:lncRNA from 1 species
CCCUAUUAAACAGUGUCAAAUAGAGUUAAGGGUAUAGUUGGCAUACCAUAGGAUUAGUAUUGAUUUCACUGUGUUACUCUUCUAUUCCAGAGGGUGAGAGAGUUCUCUUAUUCCCUUAGGGUUGAGAACAAUACUCUAAUUCUGUGAGGGUUGAGUAUAUUCAAUUCCCAAAGGAUCGUGAGCAUAUAUUGAUAUAAUGAUCCGUGUACCUGUCCUUGAAUCCAAAAUCAAUUAAUAGGGGCAAAAGAAUGUAAACAAUAUGAGAACAUAAUUUGAAGCUUAUGUGAUUGUGUAAGUAAUUGAUAUAUGGACAAAUGAUGAUAACUAAACUUGCUUAUCAAUACAUGAAAAUGAUAUGUGAAUUCCCUAAGGGAGCAUCUAAAAGAAAUGAGAUACUAUAUGCACAAUGUAAAAAUUAUUUGGAAAUUGUAAGUUGUAACACACUGAGGGUGGCAUGGAACAACUAUUUGAUAAAAUAUGUUUAUUGUAGGUGUUGUAAAAUAUAUUUGAUAUGAUGUACACUUACCAUAUGAAAAUGUUAUGUUUUAAUUAGCAUGGCAGUUUGACCUGUAGGACUCGAGCCCUACUUUGUGAACCCAUUUGAUUUUGAAUUAGUGUAAAUUUCAAUUGUGUAAUAUGAAUUUCAUAAUUAUUCUUUGAAUGCAUGUAAAUUCCAUCUUGUACUUAGAUCUAGUGACAGGAUCGAGUGUAGGGUGUUACACAUACCUUUCUUCUCAUUUUUAUCUCUUUUUUUAAAAGUUUUAUGCUUGUUGAUGGUGGCUAUUGUUUAUUUUUUGGGAUAGGAUUUUGAAUUUUGAUAUGUGUUUGGUAACUUAAAGAGAAGGUUGUGGUGAGGUUUGAUAUUUGGGUUAGGGUCACUGAAAGUCCAAUUGGGGUUGAAAACAAGGUAUGAGGACUAAUGUAGUUCGGGUUAGUGAGGUAUUUAGGAUAUUAAGGAGUUGGUCUAAGAGUGACGGUGAAGGUGGUGAAGGACCGAAAGUGGGGAAUGGUCUAAGGGCUUGGUUUAACGAGUUUAGGUUGUGGAUUUAGGUGUUGGUUUGGUUAGGCGGCGAGGGAUUUGAUUAGGAGAAUGAGAUUAGGGUUUGUUUAUAUUGAAGGAAUAUUGAAGUUGAAAAUGGCUCUGAUAGGGUGUAGAAGUAAGAGGUUGAAGAUGGUGAAGGGAUGGUGGUGGUUGAAAGUGAUUUGUUGAUGUUAACACAAAUUUUAGGUUUAUUAGUAUUUAUGUGUGUUUCUAGGUUUAUUCAAGUAUUGAAGUUUGUUGGCAAUUCUUUUUUUGAAUAAAAGAAAAUUAAAGAAGAAAAUAAUUAGCUUUUAUGUAAUUUUAAAUAUUUUAUUUUUUGAAUUUUUUAAAUAAUAUUUUGAAUUUUUUAAAAUUUGUUUUAAAAUUUUAAAAAGUUGCUGAUGUCAUAUAUUAACAAAGUUAACAAGUAAUAAACUUUUUCAUCUAUUUUAGGGUAAUUUGACAAAGUUCACUAAAAGUUAAAAAAGAUAAAAAAAAUUUUAAUAGAGAGUAAAAUAACUUUUUAUUUUAUAAAAAUAACUUUUUUAAAAAAUCUUCCUCUUCAAUGAAACCCAUAUUCAUUAAAAAAGAGAAGUUUUAAUUUAAUUAAAUCCGUGAUAUGAAUUAUGAAUAGUUGAUAGAAGGGAAUUUAUUUUGAAUCUGAAAUAUUUGGGUAGGAAAUUACUUUAUGCUUUCACUUGAAUAACAUAAAUGUCGGAAAGAAAAAUAUGCUGCCACCUUAAGAAUAAUUUUGGCUUCCAACUAACUUUAUCCAAAUAUAAAAUAUCCUCCUAUACUCUACAAAUUGCUAUCUUUUUUCAUUUCGUUCGAAAUAUUCAUUUCAACUUCCAUAAAUUCUUUGUAAAGACAUGCACAUAAUUUAUAAGAUCUUCAAAAGUCAUGAUUUACUUUCAUAAAUAAAUAUAAAAUUAAAUCUCUAUAUUAUACUCUCAUUAUAAUGAAUAAAACUUUUAACCUAGAGGUUGACUCAGUCGCACCUACAAUUUUUUUGUUUAAUUCAUUAAAAGUGGAAAAUCUAGUUUACUAAUACUUAACUAAUUCUUUUGAUUCUUUAAAAUUUCAGUUUAACUUAUAUGAUUCAACUUCAGAACAAUCAAUUGAACCGACCCGUAUUGGAAAAAUAUUUGUAAUAUAUAAUUGUUUUCCUAAGAAGCAAGAUGCCAAGUAUGAAGAAGAAGCCAUGGCCUGCUGUCCUAUAAAUAGAUGUAAUCUUCAACAUUAAAUAGCAUCAAGCUAACAACCACCAUAACCCACUAUUUAUCCAAAAACAAUGGCAUUCCAUUAUCCAGAACUCAAUAAGAAUGAUCGCCUUCCUUAAGAUUUUACGCAAGACUUUUGCAUGCUAGACGAAUUAUCCGAGAGAGCGAUAUGUUAUCACUAGCACUGGCUGCUCAAAUCUAUGGUGGAACCCUUUUAAAUGAUUUACACAAGCAAAAAACCUAAGCAAAAGCCAGGCACCUGUUUAGAUGAUCAUAUGUUCUACUUGCUAUACAUUGUAUGGGAAGCACCUAUUAUAUCAUAUCUUUUAGAUCAUAUGUGUAUUUAGGAGUUUGCUUCUUCUAUUAAUAAAUAAACAAGUAAAGUUCAAGAGUAUUGGGUUUUUUCUCUAAUAUGCAGGGAAAUUUAUUUAAACUUUCGAGGUUGAGUAAAAAAUUCAAGGAAAAUACCAACGUCAAAUUCAUUAACUCUUAAAGUUUGUUUAUUUAUUAAAUGAAUUUUAAAUAAAAUAACAAUUUUAUCCAUUAUUAAUCAAUUAAUUUUUUUACCUUUAAUCUUUAUAUUUAAUAAUAAAAGUUUAAUUAAUUAUAAAAAUAUUUUAAUUAUUAUAUUAUAUAUGUUAAACCUAAUGUAUUGAUGAAUUAAAAUGUGUAAUUUUUUUUAAAGUUAUAUAUAGUCACAAUUACAAUUAUAAAAAAGACAUCUGAAUAUUUAUAAUCAAAGGUAAUCAUCAUAAAGCACAAUCAAAUCAAUAAUUAGAAAUAUAUCAUCAUGAGCUUAUUAAGAGAUAGUGAACCCCUAAAUGGGUUAGUAUGAUUCUCAUUAAGGGUUUUGUCUCUUAACUAUAAUAAGAUUUCGUUUGAAAAGGCGACAAAUUCAUAGGGUGUGUACAUUUUGUCAAGUGCCUGAUAAGGUUAACCAUGCAGAUGCUUGUGAUCACCCACUAAAAAAAUCUCAACAUUCAAUCUUAGUGGAAUUUGAACUUGUGCCUUAUAACAUAUAUGAUAUUUAUGGUUAACAAUACCAUCACUUGAGCUAGAAAUGAUAAUAAUAUUUUUUUUUCAUCUCCUUUAUUUUUUAUUUCUUGUUUAAUAUUUUUUUAUGGAAAGACAUAUUAAAUUUUUUAUUAUUUAAUUAUAAUAAAGACUUUGAAAUGGAUUUUUUUAUAUUUUAAUUAUUUUUCAUUAAAGCCUUCUUAAUAAUGAAAUUACAUAAUAUAAUUUAAUUAAUUAAUUAAUUAAUAUUGAACUAAAUUAAAUAUAUUUAAAAUAUUUAAUUCUUAUUGAAGUCAAAUGUAUACUACUAUCUAUAAAAAGAGAGUCCAAUGAUUUUUGAUCCUGACACGUGGCUCUCUCUUUUCCAACAAUUCUUUUGAAUUUAGGAUAUUUCUGUGCUUUACAUUUUUUUAGUGAAAAUAAAAAUUACAACUAACUUAGACUAAAACAAAAGGACUUUUUACAAACAACUGUAAUCCUUCUUCUCUGCCAAACGCCAUUUUGGCCAUUUGAUCUGCUUCUUUAUUGCCAUCUCUAGGAAUAUGAUCUAAUCUCCAGCUCCUUACUGUGUCCAAGAGUUUUCUAAUACACCUGACUAAAGCCAAACAAGAAGACCUUGAGUUGAAAUCUUGAAGAUCUUCAAAGACCUCCAAACUGUCCAUUUGUAUCUAAACUCUUUCACACUGUUUUCCUUGUAGUAAUGAUAAACAAUCUAAGAUACCCCAUAGCUCAGCAUAAAAAAUAGAGCAUUUCACCAAACAUUUAUUGAAACAAAGAAGCCACUCCCCUCGAUCAUCUCUCAAGACUCCCCCUGUAACAGCAUAUCCAGAAUCUAUCUUAACCGCACCGCCAGUUUGUAACCUCACCCAAUUAUCACCCCAUUCAAACUCACCUUUCCUAACUUGCCUUAUAGCGGAAUUGCCUUUAUGAACGGGUUUAUAAUGCUUAGCCCAACUAAAAUAAUUUUUAAUAAUUUUUUGUAAGCUCCAUGACACUCUUUGAAAACUAAGAAGGUUGCAAUUCUUUCAUAUUCGCCAAAUAGCAAUCCCAUAGAAAGCUGUCCAAUCUAUCUCCCCAAAAAUGUGCUUCUGACUGUUUUGCAGAUUAGAUACAAGCCACUCUUGUAGAUUCAUAGAAAAGAAAUCAGUGUGUCUCUUGACUGGGAUUAUCUGAGUCCAAACAUCUUUAGCCGCACGUCAGUCUUUAAUAGAACGAAUGACAUCCUCUGUUCCUAGUCCACUAAUUGGACAAUGAUCAUCUUGCGCAAUACCUCUCAUUCGCCUCUUCGCUUGUGUCAGCAAUCAUUGCUUGAGAACCAACCAAAUAAAGAACUGUACCCUCUGAGGCCCCUGAUGUUUCCAUGCCAAUUUCCACACUUCAUCUUUUGAACACCAUGAAUCCUCCUUAAGCAUCUUGUAGGCACUCUUGAUAUAGAAAGAUCCUGAUGUAGUACCCACCCUAGUUACUAAGUCCAAACUAGCAGAAGGCUGCAGGGGAGGAAUACUGAUAAUUCGCUCAAUGAUCUCCUUAGGUAGCCAAAUCUAAAAAAGAUCAAGGUUCCACGAUCCUUGCUCUAUGACCAUUUCCUUAAGAAAGUAGUCAAUGUAAAUAUUGAUUUGAGCUGGAAUGAGAUUGAUUAGAGGUCCAAUGUUAGGAAUCUAACUGUCCUUCCAACAUCUUAUAUUAGAGCCAUUUCCUAUUGACUAGAGUAAGUUCUUACGAAGAAAAGGCCAUAUCCUAGAUAGUGCUCUCCAUAGAAAAGAGCAGUUACCUUGGUGAAUAUUAUUAGGAAUGCCUUUGUCCAGCCUGUAUUUUGAGCAAAGUACAUGUACCCAUAACAUAUUAGUUUUAGACAAGAUAUUGUACCCCAGAUUUAACAUGAAUGAAGUACUUUGUUCCUUCAACUAUCUUAGUCCUAGCUCGUCGCAAGCCUUAGGUUGACAAAAUAACUGCCAAUUGAUGAGGGUUAUCUGCCUAUUUCUUCCCCCAAAUAAAUUAUCUAGUUAUUUGUUCAAUCUCCUUACAAAUUCUUUGAGGGCUCUUUAUGGACUGCAAUAAAUAACUAGGAACUGUGAAAAGAACUAACUGUGCUAGAAUGAAUUUGCCAGCUAGAGAAACUUGUCUCGCAUCCCACCACUGAAGUCUAGCUUUGACUUUCUCCACCACAAACCUUAAGGAGCUAUUGGUGAUCCUUUCAUUGAGAAACGGAGCACCCAGAUAUGUACCUAGGUUAUGAACCUUGCGAAAACCAAGAAUCCUACAUAAUCGCGCCCCAAAGUCUUCAUCGAACCCUUUUGAAAAGAAUACAAUGGGUAUUUAUCCAAUGUCCAGAGAAAGCACAUAAUUUAUCAAGAGUAGAUCUAAUAAGAUUAGCCUGUUCCAAAUCAGCUUUGUAAAAAAUCUCCAGAUCAUCUACAAAAAACAAAUGUAAAAGAGGAAGUCCAAUUUUGGACAAGGAAAUAGGGACCCAAUGACCAGAGUUAAUGGAAGAAUGAAUGACGUGUCCCAAUCAUUCCAUGCAUAAAAAAUAGGUAUUGGAGACAAAAUACAUCAUUGUCUUACACCCCUAACUGGGCUAAACGUGUGGGUUGGAAUCCCAUUCCAUAAAAUUUGCAUAAUCACAUUCGUGAUUGUUAACAUGAUAACAUUUGAAUCAAUUCCAGGAUAUCGGCUACUUGGAGGGAAGCUUCAAUAAACUCCCAUCUCACUCCAUCAUAUGUUUUCUCUAAGUUGAUUUUGUUGCCAUCAGUUUCUUUUUUUUGCUUUUACUCUUCAUGGAAUGGAUCACUUUUUGUGCCAAAAUGAUGUUAUCUAUGAUACUCCUUCCGGAAAUGACACCUAUUUGUUUUAGGCCAAUAAUCCUAAGAAAGACCACCUUGAAGCAAUUAGCAAUGACCUUCAUAAUCAGCUUAUGAAGAAACAAACACAAUCUAAUCGGGCGAAAUUGUGAAAAGCUCUCGGGAUUGAAGACCUUAGGGAUAAGAAAUUUGUCACUAAAAAAAGAGGGCAUGAAAUUUGUCACUGCCUGGUGCUUUCAGCGGAGCCAUAUUAAAAAGUGCAUCCUUGAUCUCUUCCUUUGUCACCUAUUUACUUAAGAAGGGCACGUCAUUGUAGUCCAAAGUAGGAAAUGAGCUAGGAGGUAAAUCCAUCAUUUAAGUCAAAAAAAUUGAUUGCCUCUGAUUGAAGCUCCCCUUCAUCAAAGAUCCAAUUAACUUUCUCAUUUUUUAACACAGAAAUCCGAUUGUGUUUUCUCCUUAGAAUGGGGCGAGAUUAGAAGAACUUGGUAUUUUAAUCCCCAAAGUUCAACCAAUCACAAUGUGCUUUUUGUUUCCAUGACAACUCCUCGUGAUGAAGAAUGCAUUCCAGUUCCUCCCUAACUUGCAACUCUAAUUGACGAGAAAUGAUAGAGUCCAAAUUAUCCAAAUCCAUUUGAACAUUAGACAGUUUCUAUAUUAAAUGCCUUUUACAGGAACCAAUAUGACCGUAGAUAGACUUAUUCCAAUCUCUAAUGUUCGAGGCCAAGUGUUUGAGUGUCUCAACCAUAUUAGCAUUGAACCUUCAAUUCUCACUAAUAAAAUUAGAAAAUUUCGGAUGCUCCACCCAACUUGCUAGAAAUUUGAAUGGACGCCUACUGGAUGAACUCGCCACUAGAUUGAGAGCGAAUAGUAGUGGUCUAUGAUCUGACUUAAGCCUGGGGAGAUGAAAAAUAAAACAACUAAGAAAAUAUCUAAUCUAGGAAUCAUUCGUAGUUGUUUGAUCAAGUCUCUCAAAAGUUUCAGCCCGAUACCAAGUGAAAGUAGGACCUCAAAAACCCAAAUCUUAUAGCUUGGCCUUAUGAAGAAAAUCCUAAAAUAAAGUAUAACCAAUACCAAUUUAACUACUUCUUCUUUUGUCAUUAGACGAAAGUAACACGUUAAAGUCCCUGAUGGUUAUCCAAGAAGUAUCCCUAAGGGGUAAUAUCGAGUAAAGAUCUCUCCAAAGCAUCCUCAUUUUCUGUCUAUCAGGACUUCCACAAACAAAAACAAUGUGGAUAGGGGGUAAAUGAUUCUCCUUAAGAACUCGGGCACAAAUGAAUUGGGGAUGGCUGCAAAUUACCUCAACUGUGACCAAGUCUUUCUAACCAACCCAAAUACCUCUAGAAAACCUAAUAGCCUCCACCCUAUGAGAAGACUUAAAACCCAAAUUGGCUAUGAUUUUAUUUGCUUUGCCUCUACUAACCCUUGUCUCCAGUAAACUAACAAUGUCAGGCUUAUAUUCUUUAUUAUACAUGCGAAAAUUCAGGUGAAACUUGAUGUUGGCACAUCCUUGAAAAUUCUAAGAAAAAAUAGACAAGUCCAUAAAAUAAAAAAGAUAAAGAAAAGAAGACCAACCUUACUGCCUAUUAGGCCUGGACUCCUCCACCUGCUUGCUAUUAGAAAGUGAUGAAUCAUU